ACAGGGACUCACACUUGUAAUCCCAGCACUUUGGGAGGCUGUGGUGGGAUUGCUUGAGGCCAAGAGCUUGAGGCCAGUCUGGGCAGCAUAGCAAGAUCCUGUCUCUACAAAAAUUUUUUUUAAUUAGCCUGGCAUAGUGGCACGCACCUGUAGUCCCAGCUACUCAGGAAGCUGAGGUGGAAGGAUUGCUUGAGCCCAGGAGUUUGAGGCUGCAGUGAACUAUAAUCCACUGCAUUCCAGCCUGAGCAACAGUGAUGAGAUAGUCAGAGGUAACCAGAUGUGUAUUAGGCUGACUCCUAGGAAGCUUUACGUUAGGUUGAUAAGAUGGCUACAAGCAUGGUAUCUCCACACCAUAUACCCAAGGAGGGAAGGAAAAGGGCAGACCUACUCCUUAAUUGUGUCUUUCUUUUUAGCAGGAAGGAAAAUCCUUUCCGGGGGUCCUGCAGCAGAUUGCCCCUUACAGAUAAUAGCCAGAACUAGGUCACGUGUUGAUAAGGUUUAGAUACUUGUUCCCUUCAAAUCUUUUGUUGACAUUGCAUCUCCAGUGUUCGAGGUGGGCGCUGGGAGGUGUUUGGGUCACGGGGUGGAUCCCUCAUGAACGGCUUGGUGUCCUCCCUGUGGUAAUGAAUGAGUUCUCACUCUACUAGUUCACACAAAAGCUGCUUGUUUAAAAAAGCCUGGCACUUCUUCCCCUCUCACCACGUGCCCUGUUGACUACCCUUGCCUUCUGCCUCGAGUAAAACUCCCUGAAGCCCUCACCAGAAGCAGAUGCUGGCACCAUAAUUCUUGUACAAGCUGCAGAGCCAUGAGCCAAAUAAACCUCUUCUCUAUAAAUUAUCCACCCUCAUGAACGGCUU
rnacentral:lncRNA from 1 species